rnacentral:rRNA from 1 species
UACGUAGGGUGCGAGCGUUAAUCGGAAUUACUGGGCGUAAAGCGUGCGCAGGCGGUUCGUUAAGUUCGAUGUGAAAGCCCCGGGCUCAACCUGGGAACUGCAUUGGAAACUGGCGAGCUUGAGUGUGGCAGAGGGGGGUGGAAUUCCGCGUGUAGCAGUGAAAUGCGUAGAGAUGCGGAGGAACACCGAUGGCGAAGGCAGCCCCUGGGCCAACACUGACGCUCAGGCACGAAAGCGUGGGGAGCAAACAGGAUUAGAAACCCUUGUAGU